rnacentral:rRNA from 1 species
CAGUCGCCGCGGUAAUACGUAGGUGGCAAGCGUUGUCCGGAAUUAUUGGGCGUAAAGGGCUCGCAGGCGGUUUCUUAAGUCUGGUGUGAAGGCCCCCGGCUCAACCGGGGAGGGUCAUUGGAAACUGGGAAACUUGAGUGCAGAAGAGGAGAGUGGAAUUCCACGUGUAGCGGUGAAAUGCGUAGAGAUGUGGAGGAACACCAGUGGCGAAGGCGACUCUCUGGUCUGUAACUGACGCUGAGGAGCGAAAGCGUGGGGAGCGAACAGGAUUAGAGACCCCAGUAGUCCCUGUCUCUUAUAC